UACGUAGGGACCAAGCGUUGUUCGGAUUUACUGGGCGUAAAGGGCGCGUAGGCGGCGUGGUAAGUCACUUGUGAAAUCUCUGAGCUUAACUCAGAACGGCCAAGUGAUACUGCUGUGCUAGAGUGCAGAAGGGGCAAUCGGAAUUCUUGGUGUAGCGGUGAAAUGCGCAGAUAUCAGGAGGAACACCAAUGGCGAAGGCAGCUCGCUGGGACGUGACUGACGCUGGAGACGCGAAAGCGUGGGGAGCAAACAGG
rnacentral:rRNA from 1 species